rnacentral:lncRNA from 13 species
UUUUUUCACAUAUUUGUUGGUCAUUUGUAUUUCUUAUUUUGAGAAACGUCUGCCCAGAUCAUUUGUUUAAUUUUUAUUUAUUUAUUUAUUUAUUUAUUUAUUUAUUUAUUUAUUUAUUUUUGCUAUUGACAUGAGUUUCUUGUAUAUUCUGGAUACUAAUCUUUUGUUAAAUAAAUAGUUUUCAAUAUUUUUCUUUUAUUCUGUAGGCUUUCUCUUCACUCUGUUGAUUGUUUUCUUUGCUGUACAGAAGAUUUUCAGCUCGAGAUAGUCCCAUUUGUCAAUUUUUGCUCCUGUUAAUUUUGUGAGAUAUUGCCUGCAAGUUAUUUCUAUGCAUCAGAACCAUGGAUACAAAUGACGGUUGGGUCCAGUUGAUUCAGAAGAUACAUUUAGACACUCUGUUCCAGCAAGAAGUUCAACCAGGACAAUCGGCAGCACACACAACUCAGAUUUGAAGACUUGGAGGGAUGAUGAAACACGACGUUGCUGUUGGCUGCUUCCCUGCGAGAGUCAGUUGUUCCUUCCAUGCAAUCUACAUCUAUGCUGAUAGCCGUC